AUUGAACGCUGGCGGCAUGCCUUACACAUGCAAGUCGAACGGCAGCGCGGGAGCAAUCCUGGCGGCGAGUGGCGAACGGGUGAGUAAUAUAUCGGAACGUGCCCAGUAGUGGGGGAUAGCCCGGCGAAAGCCGGAUUAAUACCGCAUGAGACCUGAGGGUGAAAGCGGGGGAUCGCAAGACCUCGCGCUAUUGGAGCGGCCGAUAUCAGAUUAGCUAGUUGGUGGGGUAAAGGCCUACCAAGGCAACGAUCUGUAGUUGGUCUGAGAGGACGACCAGCCACACUGGGACUGAGACACGGCCCAGACUCCUACGGGAGGCAGCAGUGGGGAAUUUUGGACAAUGGGCGCAAGCCUGAUCCAGCAAUGCCGCGUGCAGGAAGAAGGCCUCGGUU
rnacentral:rRNA from 1 species